rnacentral:misc_RNA from 1 species
UGGGUUUGACAUGCAUAGGACAGGCAAUGAAAGUUGUCCUCUCUUCGGAGCCUAUGCACAGGUGCUGCAUGGCUGUCGUCAGCUCGUGUCGUGAGAUGUUGGGUUAAGUCCCGCAACGAGCGCAACCCUUGCCCUCUGUUGCUACCAGGUUAUGCUGGGCACUCUGAGGGGACUGCCCCGGUGAACGGGGAGGAAGGUGGGGAUGACGUACUUGCUAGGUAA